rnacentral:rRNA from 1 species
AUUGAACGCUGGCGGCAGGCCUAACACAUGCAAGUCGAGCGGGGUUUUCGGACCUAGCGGCGGACGGGUGAGUAAUGCGUAGGAAGCUGCCCGAUAGAGGGGGAUACCAGUUGGAAACGACUGUUAAUACCGCAUAAUGUCUACGGACCAAAGUGUGGGACCUUCGGGCCACAUGCUAUCGGAUGCGCCUACGUGGGAUUAGCUAGUUGGUGAGGUAAUGGCUCACCAAGGCGACGAUCUCUAGCUGGUUUUCGAGGAUGAUCAGCCACACCGGAACUGAGACACGGUCCAGACUCCUACGGGGGGCAGCAGGGGGGAAUAUUGGACAAUGGGCGCAAGCCUGAUCCAGCCAUGCCGCGUGGGUGAAGAAGGCCUUCGGGUUGUAAAGCACUUUCAGCGAGGAGGAAGGGGUGUGUGUUAAUAGUACACACCUUUGACGUUACUCGCAGAAGAAGCACCGGCUAACUCUGUGCCAGCAGCCGCCGUAACAC